GCGAUGUAGAAGAAACGACUGCCAGAAGCUUGCUAAGGAACCGCACAACCUGUGUGGGCAGCAGACAAAAUAUUCAUCAAAUGAAGUUUUGCACCAAAGUUAUGAGAGCAGCACAGAUGUUGUUUUAGCGUAAUGGAGUGAUGGAAGUGCUGCGCCAAUCAUGGAGUGCUUAGCUGUCGCCUGCUCGACCAGCCACAGUGAGUCAUUGGAGGCAGUGCUGCAGCACCAACAAUCACUCGUUGGAAGAAAGGAAUGAGGUGGCCAUCAACACCCUGCUGCCAGUUCAACACUCCUCAGUCAAAACACAAGACGCCUGCUUGGCGGCAAAGUCAAUCCAGUUUUAGACAAGAGUUUUGUACCGUAGACUUCGUGUGUGGUUUACUGCGAAUAAAUGUUUAUGCUGA